CGUAGGUGGCAAGCGUUGUCCGGAUUUAUUGGGUUUAAAGGGUGCGUAGGCGGUCCUAUAAGUCAGUUGUGAAAUACGGCAGCUUAACUGUCGAGGUGCAAUUGAUACCGCAGGACUUGAGUACAGACGAGGUAGGCGGAAUUGACGGUGUAGCGGUGAAAUGCUUAGAUAUCGUCAAGAACACCGAUAGCGAAGGCAGCUUACUAGACUGUAACUGACGCUGAUGCACGAAAGUGUGGGGGAUCAAACAGGAUUAGAUACCCUGGUAGUCCACACUGUAAACGAUGAUUACUCGAUGUUGGCGAUACACAGCCAGCGUCUUAGCAAAAGCGAUAAGUAAUCCACCUGGGGAGUACGCCGGCAACGGUG
rnacentral:rRNA from 1 species